rnacentral:rRNA from 1 species
UUCGGCGGCCAUAGCGAGAGGGAAACGCCCGGUCACAUUCCGAACCCGGAAGCUAAGACUCUCUGCGCCGAUGGUACUGCAGGGGGGACCCUGUGGGAGAGUAGGUCACCGCCGGAC